GAUGAACGCUAGCGAUAGGCCUAACACAUGCAAGUCGAGGGGCAUCACAUGAAGUAGCAAUACGGAUGGUGGCGACCGGCGCACGGGUGAGUAACACGUAUGCAACCUGCCUUCAACAAGGGGAUAACCCGUUGAAAGACGGACUAAUACCCUAUAACACAGGGGUCCCGCAUGGGAAUAUUUGUUAAAGGACAACCGGUUGAAGAUGGGCAUGCGUUCCAUUAGCUAGUUGGCGGGGUAACGGCCCACCAAGGCAACGAUGGAUAGGGGAACUGAGAGGUUUAUCCCCCACACUGGUACUGAGACACGGACCAGACUCCUACGGGAGGCAGCAGUGAGGAAUAUUGGUCAAUGGGCGAGAGCCUGAACCAGCCAAGUCGCGUGCAGGAAGAAUGUCCUAUGGAUUGUAAACUGCUUUUGCAGGGGAAUAAGUGAGCCACGUGUGGUUUUUGUAUGUACUCUGCGAAUAAGGAUCGGCUAACUCCGUG
rnacentral:rRNA from 1 species